rnacentral:rRNA from 1 species
GACGAACGCUGGCGGCGUGCUUAACACAUGCAAGUCGAACGAAGAGCGAUGGAAGCUUGCUUCUAUCAAUCUUAGUGGCGAACGGGUGAGUAACGCGUAAUCAACCUGCCCUUCAGAGGGGGACAACAGUUGGAAACGACUGCUAAUACCGCAUACGAUCUAAUCUCGGCAUCGAGGAUAGAUGAAAGGUGGCCUCUACAUGUAAGCUAUCACUGAAGGAGGGGAUUGCGUCUGAUUAGCUAGUUGGAGGGGUAACGGCCCACCAAGGCGAUGAUCAGUAGCCGGCCGGAGAGGAUGACCGGCAACAUGGGGAUGAAGACCGGCCCCAACCCCCUACGGGGGGCGGCGGUGGGGAAUCUUCCGAAAGGGCAGAAAGUCGGACGGGGAAACGCCGGGGGGGUGAUGAGGGCCUUCGGGUUGUAAAGCUUGGUUAAUCGGGACGAAAGGCCUUUUUGCAAAUAGGGAGAAGGAUUGAGGUUACCGAAAUAGAAGGCCACGGCUAGCUACGUG